UACGGAGGGUGCAAGCGUUAUCCGGAUUUACUGGGUUUAAAGGGUGCGUAGGCGGGCUAUUAAGUCAGUGGUGAAAGCUCCCGGCUCAACCGGGAAACUGCCAUUGAUACUGGUAGCCUUGAGUUCGGUUGAAGUGGGCGGAAUACAGCAUGUAGCGGUGAAAUGCUUAGAUAUGCUGUAGAACACCGAUUGCGAAGGCAGCUCACUAAACCGUUACUGACGCUGAGGCACGAAAGCGUGGGGAUCGAACAGG
rnacentral:rRNA from 1 species